ensembl:lncRNA
GACACACUGUCAGAGGACCUUUGAAAAUGCUUAAAGAGGACUUGAUGUCUUCUGGGGCUAGUCCAUCACUGAAUGUGUUGGACUAUGUGAGCAAGUUCCGUGAACGGUUACAUAAAGCUUGCUCGGUGGCGAAGGAGUCACUUGAAGUUGCGCAAAGGAAAAUGAAACGUCUUUUUGACCGCAAAUCUGUACAGCGUUCCUUUAACGAGGGCGAUCAGGUGUUGGUGUUGCUGCCUAUGGUAGGGUCGGCGUUAUCAGCCCGGUUUUCUGGUCCGUACGAGGUGGUACGGAAACUUAGCAAUACAGAUUACGUAAUCGGGACACCCGAUAGAAAACGAAAGACUCGUGUCUGUCAUGUGAAUAUGUUGAAGACUUUUUAUUGCAGAGAGGGUAUCCAGUCCGAUGUUUCGCCGACAGAGGAAACCGCUGUUCACCUGUCCUCCCCGGCUCCUGCCUCCGUGGCAUGCGCUGCGGUGGAAAUCUCUAACCCGGAUGAUGAUGGAGUAAUUGUUCGCCACACUUACCAGCAAUGUGCUCGCCUCAAGAACUCUGAGUAUUAGAGCAUGAUAUUAACGUGGGGGAUGCUGUUCCGGUCAAGCAACAUGCGUACCGCAUGAACUCAGUGAAGAGAGAGCGUAUGCGGGGAGAGGUUGAGUAUUUGGUGGAGCAUGGAUUGGCUCAAGCCAGCUGCAGCCCCUGGAGCUCUCCAUGCCUCCUGAUACCGAAGAGUGACGGCACUGAUCGGUUUUGUACGGACUAUCGUAAGGUUAAUGCGCUCACGGUACCGGAUUGUUUUCCAUUGCCGCGGAUGGAGGACUGCAUUGACAACAUCGGCUCGGCCCGUUAUGUCAGUAAAUUGGAUCUACUAAAAGGGUACUGGCAGGUGCCGCUUACGUCUCGCGCUUCUGACAUCUCCGCUUUCGUGACAC